UGAGGAAUAUUGGACAAUGGGCGGAAGCCUGAUCCAGCCAUGCCGCGUGCAGGAAGACUGCCCUAUGGGUUGUAAACUGCUUUUGUACGGGAAGAAACCCUCCUACGUGUAGGGGGCUGACGGUACCGUAAGAAUCAGCAUCGGCUAACUCCGUGCCAGCAGCCGCGGUAAUACGGAGGAUGCAAGCGUUAUCCGGAAUCAUUGGGUUUAAAGGGUCCGUAGGUGGAUUGAUAAGUCAGAGGUGAAAUCCUGCAGCUCAACUGUAGAACUGCCUUUGAAACUGUUGAUCUUGAAUUAUUGUGAAGUAGUUAGAAUAUGUAGUGUAGCGGUGAAAUGCAUAGAUAUUACAUAGAAUACCGAUUGCGAAGGCAGAUUACUAACAAUAUAUUGACACUGAUGGACGAAAGCGUGGGGAGCGAACAGG
rnacentral:rRNA from 1 species